AACUAACGCUGGCGGCGUGCCUAACACAUGCAAGUCGUACGAGAAAGUUGGCUUCGGCCGAUGAGUACAGUGGCGCACGGGUGAGUAACGCGUGGAUAAUCUGCCCUUAAGUGUGGAAUAACGUACCGAAAGGUGCGCUAAUACCGCAUAAUGCCUGGCAACAUAAGUUGUCCGGCCAAAGAAGGCCUCUGCUUGCAAGCUUUCGCUAAAGGAUGAGUCCGCGUACCAUUAGCUAGUUGGUGGGGUAACGGCCUACCAAGGCGACGAUGGUUAGCUGGUCUGAGAGGGAGAUCCCCCACACUGGUACUGAGACACGGACCAGACUCCUACGGGAGGCAGCAGUGAGGAAUAUUGGUCAAUGGGCGCAAGCCUGAACCAGCCAUCCCGCGUGCAGGAAGACGGCCCUAUGGGUUGUAAACUGCUUUUCCAGGGAGAGAAACUUACGCACGUGUUGCGUGACUGACGGUACCCUGGGAAUAAGCAUCGGCUAACUCCGUG
rnacentral:rRNA from 1 species